rnacentral:lncRNA from 1 species
UCGGAUACAUCAAAAACCGAUGAAAUUUUUUAAAAUUUAUAGAAGAGUGGUGCUGAGUUCAUGGGCGAAUGUUUCUUCUUCUAAUUAAAAUUAUAUUAUGUGAUAAUUAUGUUGGGGGUGUGGUGAGAAUAUUAAAACAACACUAAAAUUUCAACCUGGACCCCAUCCAUUUUAAUUAUUUCAACUUAGUCCUCCCAUUUAAUUUAAGAAUAAGUUAUAGAAUUAUUAAAAACGGUUGGAAACUUUGGUUGUCUGUCUCAUUUUCUAGUUCCAAAUGUUUUGUUGGCAUAAGCUGAAAGG